GAUGAACGCUGGCGGCGUGCCUAAUACAUGCAAGUCGAGCGAACUGAUUAGAAGCUUGCUUCUAUGACGUUAGCGGCGGACGGGUGAGUAACACGUGGGCAACCUGCCUGUAAGACUGGGAUAACUUCGGGAAACCGAAGCUAAUACCGGAUAGGAUCUUCUCCUUCAUGGGAGAUGAUUGAAAGAUGGUUUCGGCUAUCACUUACAGAUGGGCCCGCGGUGCAUUAGCUAGUUGGUGAGGUAACGGCUCACCAAGGCAACGAUGCAUAGCCGACCUGAGAGGGUGAUCGGCCACACUGGGACUGAGACACGGCCCAGACUCCUACGGGAGGCAGCAGUAGGGAAUCUUCCGCAAUGGACGAAAGUCUGACGGAGCAACGCCGCGUGAGUGAUGAAGGCUUUCGGGUCGUAAAACUCUGUUGUUAGGGAAGAACAAGU
rnacentral:rRNA from 4 species